rnacentral:rRNA from 1 species
UACGGGAGGCAGCAGUGGGGGAUAUUCCACAAUGGGGGAAACCCUGAUGGAGCGACGCCGCGUGAGUGAAGAAGGGCUUCGGCUCGUAAAGCUCUUUUCUCGAGGACGAAUGGCUCAUUAGGUGAGCAGAGACGGUACUUGGGGAAUAAGCCACGGCUAACUACGUGCCAGCAGCCGCGGUAAUAA